CCUACGGGGGGCAGCAGUGGGGAAUAUUGGACAAUGGGCGAAAGCCUGAUCCAGCCAUGCCGCGUGUGUGAAGAAGGCCUUCGGGUUGUAAAGCACUUUCAGUGGGGAAGAAAGCCUUGGGGCUAAUACCCUCGAGGAAGGACAUCACCCACAGAAGAAGCACCGGCUAACUCCGUGCCAGCAGCCGCGGUAAUACGGAGGGUGCGAGCGUUAAUCGGAAUUACUGGGCGUAAAGCGCGCGUAGGCGGUCUGAUAAGCCGGUUGUGAAAGCCCCGGGCUCAACCUGGGAACGGCAUCCGGAACUGUCAGGCUAGAGUGCAGGAGAGGAAGGUAGAAUUCCCGGUGUAGCGGUGAAAUGCGUAGAGAUCGGGAGGAAUACCAGUGGCGAAGGCGGCCUUCUGGACUGACACUGACGCUGAGGUGCGAAAGCGUGGGUAGCAAACAGGAUUAGAUACCCGAUAGUC
rnacentral:rRNA from 1 species